rnacentral:rRNA from 1 species
GAUGAACGCUGGCGGCGUGCCUAACACAUGCAAGUCGAACGGACGUACAACUGAAACCUAGUGAUGAUGUACGUGAGUGGCGGACGGGUGAGUAACGCGUGGAUAACCUGCCGUAUGCAGGGGGAUACCACCCGGAAACGGGUGCUAAUAUCGCAUAAACGCACGGAGCCGCAUGGCUUUGUGUGAAAAGAUUUAUCGGCAUACGAUGGAUCCGCGUCCGAUUAGCCAGUUGGCGGGGUAACGGCCCACCAAAGCGACGAUCGGUAGCCGGCCUGAGAGGGCGGACGGCCACAUUGGGACUGAGACACGGCCCAAACUCCUGCGGGAGGCAGCAGUGGGGGAUAUUGCACAAUGGGGGGAACCCUGAUGCAGCGACGCCGCGUGGGUGAAGGAGUACUUCGGUACGUAAAGCCCUAUCGGCAGGGAAGAAAAAAGCGAAGCGAUUCGCUUAGACGGUACCUGACUAAGAAGCCCCGGCUAACUACGUGCCAGCAGCCGCGGUAAUACGUAGGGGGCAAGCGUUAUC